GUGAGCGUAGCUCAGGUGGCUAGAGCGCUUGGUUGUGGUCCAGGAGGUCGGGGGUUCAAGUCCCCUCGCUCACCCCA
rnacentral:tRNA from 1 species